UUGUAGUCACACAUCUUCUGAUCACACUCCAGUGAGGGAAUUAAGGACGGCACAUUGUCCUUGUAACGGGGAUCCAGCAGGAUGGCCACCCAGUAAUCAACGCAUUCGGAUGUCUGCCCUAUCAACUUUCAAUGGUACUUUCUGCACCUACCAUGGUGACCAUGGGUAACAGGGAAUCAGGGUUCGAUUCCGGUGAGGGAGCCUGAGAAACGGUUACCACAUCCAAGGAAGGCAGCAGGCGUGCAAAUUACCCCCUCCCGACGUGGGGAGGUAGUGACGA